rfam:Brassica napus, WGS project CCCW01000000 data, contig: 11450
AAUCCAUGGUGUGGACAAUCUCUCUGAUAAGACUUGAAUCUGAUCCAAGAACCUCUGAAUGAUUCUGCAGGUUCCUGAUUGAAUGUAGCAAUCUUACUUCUUAAGUCU